GACGAACGCUGGCGGCGCGCUUAACACAUGCAAGUCGAGCGAGAACCAGGGCUUCGGCCCUGGGGACAGCGGCGAACGGGUGAGUAACACGUGGAUAACCUGCCCUCGGCACCGGGAUAGCCCGGGGAAACCCGGAUUAAUACCGGAUGGCCCUUCCGGCUCUCGAGCUGGAUGGAAAAGGUAGCUUCGGCCUCCGGCCGAGGAUGGGUCCGCGGCGGGUUAGCUUGUUGGCGGGGUAACGGCCCACCAAGGCGACGAUGGGUAGCUGGUCUGAGAGGACGAUCAGCCACACUGGGACUGAGACACGGCCCAGACUCCUACGGGAGGCAGCAGUGGGGAAUCUUGCACAAUGCGCGAAAGCGUGAUGCAGCAACGCCGCGUGGGGGAAGACGGCCUUCGGGUUGUAAACCUCUUUCAGUUGGGACGAAGGUUCAACGGUGAAUAGCCGGCUGAACUGACGGUACCUUCAGAAGAAGCCCCGGCUAACUACGUGCCAGCCGCCGCAGUAACAC
rnacentral:rRNA from 1 species